UACGUAGGGGGCAAGCGUUGUCCGGAAUCAUUGGGCGUAAAGCGCGUGUAGGCGGUUCGGUAAGUCUGCUGUGAAAGUCCAGGGCUCAACCCUGGGAUGCCGGUGGAUACUGUCGGACUAGAGUACGGAAGAGGCGAGUGGAAUUCCCGGUGUAGCGGUGAAAUGCGCAGAUAUCGGGAGGAACACCAAUGGCGAAGGCAGCUCGCUGGGACGUGACUGACGCUGAGACGCGAAAGCGUGGGGAGCAAACGGG
rnacentral:rRNA from 1 species